rnacentral:rRNA from 1 species
AAGUUGACGGGGCCCGCACAGCGGUGGAGUAUGUGGUUUAAUUCGAUGCAACGCGAAGAACCUUACCUGGUCUUGACAUCCCGGAGACCCUUAGGAAACUAGGGGGUGCUUCCAUCUGGAAGAAUCUGGAGACAGGUGCUGCAUGGCUGUCGUCAGCUCGUGUCGUGAGAUGUUGGGUUAAGUCCCGCAACGAGCGCAACCCUUGCCUUUAGUUGCCAGCAGUUCGGCUGGGCACUCUAAAGGGACUGCCGGUGUUAAACCGGAGGAAGGUGGGGAUGACGUCAAGUCCUCAUGGCCUUUAUGACCAGGGCUACACACGUACUACAAUGGCCGAUACAAAGGGCAGCGACACUGCGAGGUGAAGCCAAUCCCGUAAAAUCGGUCUCAGUCCGGAUUGGAGUCUGCAACUCGACUCCAUGAAGUUGGAAUCGCUAGUAAUCGUGGAUCAGCAUGCCACGGUGAAUACGUUCCCGGGCCUU